GACAGAGGGGGCAAGCGUUGUCCGGAUUUACUGGGCGUACAGCGCGCGCAGGCGGUUGUGUACCUGGUGACAGUCUCGGGCUCAACUCGAGGGGGUCUGGGUAGACCGCACAACUGGAGGCAGGGAGAGGUAUGUGGAAUACCCGGUGGAGCGGUGAAAUGCGUAGAGAUCGGGUGGAACACCAGUGGCGAAGGCGGCAUCCUGGCCCUGACCUGACGCUGAGGCGCGAAAGCUAGGGGAGCAAACGGG
rnacentral:rRNA from 1 species